UGGUGAUCUUCUCUCUAUUACCAGYUCACACGAGAAUGACUUUGUCAACGAUGUAUUUGUGGAGAGCCUGAAUUUGACGUACAUACAAGAGAAAGAUUUAAGUUCUGACCACAUCCAUUUUAAGCUAAACGGAGACGAUCCUAGGGUCGAGAUUCGUGGAGUACAAGGAGAUGCUAACUACGAGUUUCAAGGAAGAGAAAAAGCAUUAUUCUUGCACGGAAAGAAAGGCUAUGCUAAAA